CCUACGGGAGGCAGCAGUGAGGAAUAUUGGUCAAUGGCCGGAAGGCUGAACCAGCCAAGCCGCGUGAGGGAGGAAGGCGCAGAGCGUCGCAGACCUCUUUUGCCGGGGGACAAAAGGCCGGACUCGUAAGGUCCGGAGGGUACCCGGAGAAAAAGCAUCGGCUAAAUCAGGGCCAGCAGCCGCGGUAAUACGGAGGAUGAGAGCGUUAUCCGGAUGCAUUGGGUUCGAGGGGUGCGCGGGCGGGCCUUUAAGCCGGCGGUGAAAUCGCGGGGCUCAACCCCGCAGAGCCGUCGGAACUGGGGGCCGUGAGUGCGGCAGAGGCAUGCGGAAUGCGCGGUGUAGCAGUGAAAUGCAUAGAUAUCGCGCAGAACCCCGAUGGCGAAGGCAGCGUGCCGUGCCGCCACUGACGCUGAGGCACGAAAGCGCGGGGAUCGAACAGGAUUAGAUACCCCUGUAGUC
rnacentral:rRNA from 1 species